rnacentral:rRNA from 1 species
GAUGAACGCUGGCGGCGUGCCUAAUACAUGCAAGUCGAGCGAACAGAUGAGGAGCUUGCUCCUCUGACGUUAGCGGCGGACGGGUGAGUAACACGUGGAUAACCUACCUAUAAGACUGGGAUAACUUCGGGAAACCGGAGCUAAUACCGGAUAAUAUAUUGAACCGCAUGGUUCAAUAGUGAAAGACGGUUUUGCUGUCACUUAUAGAUGGAUCCGCGCCGCAUUAGCUAGUUGGUAAGGUAACGGCUUACCAAGGCAACGAUGCGUAGCCGACCUGAGAGGGUGAUCGGCCACACUGGAACUGAGACACGGUCCAGACUACUACGGGAGGCAGCAGUAGGGAAUCUGCCGCAAUGGGCGAAAGCCUGACGGAGCAACGCCGCGUGAGUGAUGAAGGUCUUCGGAUCGUAAAACUCUGUUAUUAGGGAAGAACAAAUGUGUAAGUAACUAUGCACGUCUUGACGGUACCUAAUCAGAAAGCCACGGCUAACUACGUG